rnacentral:rRNA from 1 species
GACGAACGCUGGCGGCGUGCCUAAUACAUGCAAGUAGAACGCACAGUUUAUACCUUAGCUUGCUACACCAUAGACUGUGAGUUGCGAACGGGUGAGUAACGCGUAGGUAACCUGCCUGGUAGCGGGGGAUAACUAUUGGCAACGAUAGCUAAUACCGCAUAAUAUUAAUUAUUGCAUGAUAAUUAAUUGAAAGGUGCAAUUGCACCACUACCAGAUGGACCUGCGUUGUAUUAGCUAGUAGGUGAGGUAACGGCUCACCUAGGCGACGAUACAUAGCCGACCUGAGAGGGGGAGCGGCCACACUGGGACUGAGACACGGCCCAGAAUCCUACGGGAGGCAGCAGUAGGGAAUCUUCGGCAAUGGACGAAAGUCUGACCGAGCAACGCCGCGUGAGUGAAGAAGGUUUUCGGAUCGUAAAGCUCUGUUGUAAGAGAAGAACGGGUGUGAGAGUGGAAAGUUCACACUGUGACGGUAUCUUACCAGAAAGGGACGGCUAACUACGUG